AGUUUGAUCCUGGCUCAGGACGAACGCUGGCGGCGUGCCUAAUGCAUGCAAGUCGAGCGGGCUACGAUCUUCGGAUUGUAGCUUAGCGGCGAACGGGUGAGUAACACGUAGGUAAUCUACCCUUCAGAGGAGGACAACCUCAGGAAACUGAGGCUAAACCUUCAUACGUUCACUGGUAGGGAUACUGGUGAAGAAAGAGUUACCUUAAAGGUAGCUGCUGAAGGAUGAGCCUGCGGCCCAUCAGGUAGUUGGUGAGGUAACGGCUCACCAAGCCGAAGACGGGUAACCGGUCUGAGAGGAUGUCCGGUCACACUGGGACUGAGACACGGCCCAGACUCCUACGGGAGGCAGCAGCAGGGAAUCUUGGGCAAUGGGCGAAAGCCUGACCCAGCGACGCCGCGUGGAGGAAGAAGUCCUUCGGGGCGUAAACUCCUGGACUGGGGGACGAGGAAGGACGGUACCCCAGUAGCAAGGGACGGCUAACUACGUGCCAGCAGCCGCGGUAAAACGUAGGUCCCGAGCGUUGUUCGGAUUCACUGGGUGUAAAGGGCGCGUAGGUGGUUGUCUGUGUCUCAUGUGAAAACUCAGGGCUCAACUCUGAGAUUGCGUGGGAAACUAGGCAGCUAGAGGACGGUAGAGGGGAGUGGAAUUCCCGGUGUAGCGGUAAAAUGCGUAGAUAUCGGGAGGAACACCAGUGGCGAAGGCGGCCUCCUGGACCACUCCUGGCACUCAGACGCGAAAGCUAGGGUAGCAAACGGGAUUAGAGACCCGGGUAGUCCUAGCCCUAAACGAUGUAGACUUGGCGUCGGUGGUUUAAUCGCCAUCGGUGUCGUAGCUAACGCGAUAAGUCUACCGCCUGGGGACUACGGCCGCAAGGUUAAAACUCAAAGGAAUUGACGGGUCCCCGCACAAGCAGCGGAGCGUGUGGUUUAAUUCGAUGCUACACGAAGAACCUUACCUGGGUUUGACAUAGAGGUAGUAGGGAAGCGAAAGCGGACCGACCCUUCGGGGAGCCUCUACAGGUGUUGCAUGGCUGUCGUCAGCUCGUGUCGUGAGAUGUUCGGUUAAGUCCGCUAACGAGCGCAACCCUCGCUGUGUGUUACAAGUGUCACACGGUACUGCCGAUAUUAAGUCGGAGGAAGGUGGGGAUGACGUCAAGUCAGCAUGACCUUUAUAUCCAGGGCUACACACACGCUACAAUGGCCAGUACAAUGGGUUGCCAAGCCGCGAGGCGGAGCCAAUCCUAAAAAGCUGGCCUCAGUUCAGAUUGCAGUCUGCAACUCGACUGCAUGAAGUUGGAGUUGCUAGUAACCGCAGGUCAGCAAUACUGCGGUGAAUACGUUCCCGGGGAUUGUACACACCGCCCGUCAAGUCAUGGAAGCUGGCAACACCUGAAGCCGGUAUCCUAACCCGAAAGGGAGGGAGCUGUCGAAGGUGGGGUCGGUGACUGGGACUAAGUCGUAACAAGGUAACC
rnacentral:rRNA from 1 species